GACUCGCUACCAACUGCAUGAAGCGGAGGGGCGGACCCGCCUUGGGGGACUGAGGCACAGAUUCUUUCUAGGGCUGGGGCAGAGCUGGUUCGUGCGCAGUUCGCAGUUUAACUCUGAAAGCGGGUGUGCAAGCAACCUUAGAGUUGUCCGGGGUUCUGUGAACCAUGGGUACAUUUAAAGAGCUGGAGAGACGGCCGAAGAGGAAGCCACUUCUCUACAUGGUCUGCACUUACAGUAGAUACAUUCAUUAUUGUCCAAGGGAAGACAGCCACUGCCUUUCACUUAAAGAGCUUGGUGGAGAGGCUGAAGGAAUGGAUGCGCUACAGCCGAAGGACGCUGGGCGAUGCAGGGGUGGUGGCCGCUCAGUCAAGAGAGUCCCAGGCAAAGGUUGGACCCAAACCGUUGGCCUUGAUUUUGUUGGAGAUGUGAGCUGUUGUGGGAACUCACAGCGCAAUGGGAUGCAGCGAGGCUUGCUCUUCCAGGAAAGGUCUCCCUGGCGCCAGGGCAGGGACUUCUCCAUGACAAGUGCCACUAUUCAGGCCCCAAUCCUGCCCCCUAAAACUUUUGGUGUCAACACAAUCUUAAGACUUCAACCUGGAAAGAAAACAAGGCUUUGAACACAAGCUAUGGAAGCUCUGCUGUGGUUAUGGUUGGAUACAAAAAUGUGAAAAUCCAGAUGUAAUCAAAAAUACAAAAUCAGUUUCAACAGGAUUUGCUUUUGUUGUUUUUGUUUAAAUACCAUUACAGUGCAAGGGUUUUCAAAUUACAGUAAAAGUUAUGUUUGCUUACAGUAA
rnacentral:lncRNA from 1 species